rnacentral:rRNA from 1 species
UACGAAGGGGGGCUAGCGUUGUUCGGAUUUACUGGGCGUAAAGCGCACGUAGGCGGAUCGAUCAGUCAGGGGGUGAAAUCCCCAGAGCUCAACUCUGGAACUGCCUUUGAUACUGUCGAUCCGUGGAUAUGGAAGAGGUGAGUGGAAUUCCGAGUGUAGAGGUGAAAUUCGUAGAUAUUCGGAGGAACACCAGUGGCGAAGGCGGCUGCACUGGUCCGAUUACUGACGCUGAGGUGCGGAAAGCGUGGGGAGCAAACAGGAUUGAGAU